rnacentral:rRNA from 1 species
CCUACGGGAGGCAGCAGUGGGGAAUAUUGCACAAUGGGGGAAACGCUGCUGCAGCGAAGCAGCGUGAGUGAAGACGUAAUUCGUUAUGUUAAGCUCUAUCUGCAGGGAAGAAAAUGACGGUACCUGAGUAAGAAGCCCCGUCUCACUACGUUCCAGCAGACGUGGUACUAUGUCGGGGGCAAGAGUGAUCCGGAUGUACUGGGUGUAAAGGGAGCGUAGAAGGUAGUGCAAGUCUGGAGUGAAAGGCGGGGGCUCAACCACCGGACUGUGCUGGAAACGGUACGCCUGGAGUGCGGGAGAGGUAAGCGGAAUUCCGAGUGGAGCGGUGAAAUGCGUAGAUAUUAGGAAGAAAACCAGUGGCGAAGGCGGCUUACUGGACUGUAACUGACGUUGAGGCUCGAAAGCGUGGGGAGCAAACAGGAUUAGAUACCCCAGUAGUC